AAAGGUGGAGUGAGGGAGACACCAGACUGCCAUCCUAGGAGCAACAUGGAAUGGGAUGCAGGUUUCUGGAAUGAUGUUCAACACGUGACAAAUGCUGGACACAUAUGCAUGGAACCAGUGAAUUAUAUGAGUACCUGGAUAAAGAGGCUGUUGACCGAUGUGCUCUAAGCCCCAGACAUCUGGAGAGGGAACAAAGUCUUUGGUGUGAAAAAGAAGCAGACUUGAGACUAUCUACUGCUAUUUCUUAAUACAACUGAUGGAGGCAGAUGCAGAGACCCACAGUCAAACAUCUCCUUUCUUUAAAGAGAAGUGGAUGGUGGCUGUUGUUCCUUUCCAUCACUACAUGGCAUUUCUAAGGCGCCUGGCAUAGGAAACCACUUCUGAUGAGACUAUGUCAACAUUGUGCCUGAAUUUAAUAGGUAAGUCUAUUGUUUGCCCAGGGAAAAAAAGCAGUUGUCUCUGUGUGAUAUUUGUGUCUGAUUAAAAAUAGGAGUUUUUUUUCUCGAAUUUCAAGCUCUGGUUCAUAGCAGAGAAAGGUUUCUGCUAUGGUUAUUAGAUGGAGAUAUGUUGGCCUUCUUUUCUCUGACAACUUUAGCACAAGCCUUCUAAACAUAAAAACAAUACACCCCUACCUGAGAUGUUAGUUCUAUUUCUUUAACAUAGAUUGUCAUAUGACAAAGAAUUCAAAAGAAGCCUUGGUAAAUACUUUUUUUUUCUUUGCAUCCUUUAGAAUUGAGAUGACUUGGGCUAGACAGAAGUAAAGGAAAGUAUUUCAUAGUGGUUAGUAGACAAAAACUGCUGUGGAUAUUGUUCUAUAUAAAUAAAACACUGGUGGCCAGUGACGAGGCAGGAAGUAGGUGGGACUAGGAGA